rnacentral:rRNA from 1 species
UAGCUAGUUGGUGAGGUAAAGGCUUACCAAGGCGACGAUCUGUAGCGGGUCUGAGAGGAUGAUCCGCCACACUGGAACUGAGACACGGUCCAGACUCCUACGGGAGGCAGCAGUGGGGAAUUUUGGACAAUGGGGGCAACCCUGAUCCAGCCAUGCCGCGUGAGUGAAGAAGGCCUUCGGGUUGUAAAGCUCUUUCGGCCGGGAAGAAAUCGCAUGGGCCAAUACCCUGUGUGGAUGACGGUACCGGAAUAAGAAGCACCGGCUAACUACGUGCCAGCAGCCGCGGUAAUACGUAGGGUGCGAGCGUUAAUCGGAAUUACUGGGCGUAAAGCGUGCGCAGGCGGUUUUGUAAGACAGGCGUGAAAUCCCCGGGCUUAACCUGGGAACUGCGUUUGUGACUGCAAGGCUAGAGUACGGCAGAGGGGGGUGGAAUUCCACGUGUAGCAGUGAAAUGCGUAGAGAUGUGGAGGAACACCAAUGGCGAAGGCAGCCCCCUGGGUCGAUACUGACCCUCAUGCACGAAAGCGUGGGUAGCAAACAGGAUUAGAUACCCUGGUAGUCCACGCCCUAAACUAUGUCAACUAGGUGUUGGGUGGGUAAAACCAUUUAGUACCGUAGCUAACGCGUGAAGUUGACCGCCUGGGGAGUACGGCCGCAAGGUUAAAACUCAAAGGAAUUGACGGUGACCCGCACAAGCGGUGGAUGAUGUGGAUUAAUUCGAUGCAACGCGAAAAACCUUACCUACCCUUGACAUGCCAGGAACUUGCCAGAGAUGGCUUGGUGCCCGAAAGGGAGCCUGGACACAGGUGCUGCAUGGCUGUCGUCAGCUCGUGUCGUGAGAUGUUGGGUUAAGUCCCGCAACGAGCGCAACCCUUGUCGUUAAUUGCCAUCAUUUAGUUGGGCACUUUAACGAGACUGCCGGUGACAAACCGGAGGAAGGUGGGGAUGACGUCAAGUCCUCAUGGCCCUUAUGGGUAGGGCUUCACACGUCAUACAAUGGUCGGUACAAAGGGUUGCCAGGCCGCGAGGCGGAGCCAAUCCCAGAAAGCCGAUCGUAGUCCGGAUUGCAGGCUGCAACUCGCCUGCAUGAAGUCGGAAUCGCUAGUAAUCGUGGAUCAGCAUGUCACGGUGAAUACGUUCCCGGGUCUUGUACACACCGCCCGUCACACCAUGGGAGCGGGUUCCGCCAGAAGUAGGUAGCCUAACCGCAAGGGGGGCGCUUACCACGGCGGGGUUCGUGACUGGGGUGAAGUCGUAACAAGGUAGCCGUAGGGGAACCUGCGGCUG